rnacentral:misc_RNA from 1 species
UUAACUUAUUAUAUUUUGACUCAGAAUAGCGCUAAAAUAUAGAAGGGUUUGGUACCUCCGGCGGGCGCCUUUGCAGGCUACAGCUCCGCCCUGGAGCUGCCCGCCGAAGCAUUUAUGAUUUAGGUAAGGUUCACAGUGGGUUUGGAGUUUUACAACUCAGUAAUGAUCCCUCCGCUGGUUCACCAACGGAGA